ACGGCUCAGUAACACGUGGACAACCUACCCUGAAGAGGGGGAUAACCCCGGGAAACUGGGGAUAAUACCCCAUAGACUAUGGAUGCUGGAAUGCUCUGUAGUUCAAAGGUCCGCCGCUUCAGGAUGGGUCUGCGGCCGAUUAGGUUGUUGUUGGGGUAACGGCCCAACAAGCCUGUAAUCGGUACGGGUUGUGGGAGCAAGAGCCCGGAGAUGGAUUCUGAGACACGAAUCCAGGCCCUACGGGGCGCAGCAGGCGCGAAAACUUUGCAAUGCGAGAAAUCGUGACAAGGGAACUCCGAGUGCCUGUAAAAUCAGGCUGUCCGCCAGUGUAAACAACUGGUGAAGAAAGGGCCGGGCAAGACCGGUGCCAGCCGCCGCGGUAAUACCGGCGGCUCGAGUGGUGGCCACUAUUACUGGGCUUAAAGCGUUCGUAGCUGGUCUGUUAAGUCUCUGGGGAAAUCUUCCGGCUUAACCGGAAGGCGUCUCAGGGAUACUGGCAGACUAGGGACCGGAAGAGGUGAGAGGUACUCCAGGGGUAGGAGUGAAAUCCUGUAAUCCUUGGGGGACCACCUGUGGCGAAGGCGUCUCACCAGGACGGCUCCGACAGUGAGGAACGAAAGCUGGGGGAGCAAGCCGGAUUAGAUACCCGGGUAGUCCCAGCUGUAAACGAUGCGCGUUAGGUGUAUCGGUGACCACGAGUCACCGAGGUGCCGAAGAGAAAUCGUGAAACGCGCCGCCUGGGAAGUACGGUCGCAAGGCUGAAACUUAAAGGAAUUGGCGGGGGAGCAC
rnacentral:rRNA from 1 species